AUGCGUGCUCCAAUUGUUUCCACCAACUCAUAUGCCUUCGAGAUGGAUGAUACACUCGGCAUAUAUAACCGUAACUAUGCCAAAACAACUAUUGAUAUAUGGGUAUUGCAGAACUACGAAAGCGAGGUUUGGGACUUCAAGUAUCGAAUCAAAUUGUCAGUUGCAGAAAUACGGGGGAAGUUUGAGGCCUUUAAUGACCAUUGGAAUGUGGAGGUUGUUUCAGCAGACCAUGACGUGCUCUUGCUAGUCAGUUCUGGUCGGUGUCUGUCUUACGUUGACAAUGAUGGUAAGCUGAUUGACAGUUUUGAUCAUGGUCGCAAAUACUUCUUUUUGUCUAAAUAUCGGCUCAAGCAAAGUCUUGUCCAGCAUACCUUCUUUCAGGCAUUAGAAAGUUCUGUUGUGAACACUUCACCAUUCAUCUGA
rnacentral:rRNA from 1 species